rfam:Brachypodium distachyon strain Bd21 chromosome 1, whole genome shotgun sequence.
AUUGUACUUCCUCUGUCCAACCAAGGAUGUCUCAACUUUGAUUAAAUUUGCAUGCAUCUAUACACUAAGUUAUGUUUAGAUACAUCUAAAUUUUGAUAAACUUGAGACAUCUUUUGUUGGACGGAGGGACGGGAGUAAGUA